GUGGGGAAUAUUGGGCAAUGGGCGCAAGCCUGACCCAGCAACGCCGCGUGAGGGAAGAAGGCUUUCGGGUUGUAAACCUCUGUCCUUGGUGACGAAAAAAAUGACGGUAGCCAAGGAGGAAGCCCCGGCUAACUACGUGCCAGCAGCCGCGGUAAUACGUAGGGGGCGAGCGUUGUCCGGAAUUACUGGGCGUAAAGGGUGCGUAGGUGGCCGUUUAAGUUGGAUGUGAAAUACCCGGGCUUAACUUGGGGGGUGCAUCCAAAACUGGGAGGCUAGAGUGCAGGAGAGGAAAGCGGAAUUCCUAGUGUAGCGGUGAAAUGCGUAGAUAUUAGGAGGAACACCAGUGGCGAAGGCGGCUUUCUGGACUGUAACUGACACUGAGGCACGAAAGCGUGGGGAGCAAACAGGAUUAGAUACCCUGGUAGUCC
rnacentral:rRNA from 1 species